GACGUAGGGCGCGAGCGUUUGUCCGGAUUUAUUGGGCGUAAAGAGCUCGUAGGCGGCUUGUUGCGUCGACCGUGAAAACCCGGGGCUCAACUUCGGGCUUGCGGUCGAUACGGGCGGGCUAGAGUUCGGUAGGGGGAGACUGGAAUUCCUGGUGUAGCGGUGAAAUGCGCAGAUAUCAGGAGGAACACCGGUGGCGAAGGCGGGUCUCUGGGCCGAUGACUGACGCUGAGGAGCGAAAGCGUGGGGAGCGAACAGG
rnacentral:rRNA from 1 species